UGGGGGUUCGAGAGUUCGACGGAAGUCCGGACGGUCGUUGGAGGUUCUGCGGGAACAAAUCCGAGAAGUCCAGGAGCUUGCCAAAGAAGCUCAUCGGAACUCGCCAAGUGGAUCGUCGCAAGUCCAAGAGUUUGCUGGAAGUCCACCGGAGCAUUGCUGAGAGUUCGUCAGAUGUUCGCCGUAAGUUCGCCGGAAGCUCGCCGGAAGAAGCAAUUGACACACCGG
rnacentral:lncRNA from 1 species